GACAGAGGUGCCGAGCGUUAGGCGGAAUCACUGGGCUUAAAGCGUGUGUAGGCGGGUCGUUAAGUGUCUUGUGAAAUCCCACCGCUCAACGGUGGAACUGCUGGGCAUACUGGCGAUCUUGAGCCACCUAGGGGCAGACGGAACAAGCGGUGGAGCGGUGAAAUGCGUAGAUAUCGCUUGGAACGCCGACGGUGAAAACAGUCUGUUGGGGGUGUGCUGACGCUGAGACACGAAAGCCAGGGGAGCGAACGGG
rnacentral:rRNA from 1 species